rnacentral:lncRNA from 1 species
AUUUCCUAAAGAGCCGAGCACACUGCGAUGGUGAGCUGUACACAUCUCAAGAAUGAGGCACAGCAUCUCGGGCCUUCUAAUUAGCUCUGCUGGCAUAAUUGACUCUGGCUGGGCACCAGAGUUGGUACAGCUGUGAGCUGACAAGGCUGUGAGGAGGCAGGAGGAGACAAAAGAAGAUGAGCAAUAGUAGCACCACACACCUGUGAGAGGGAGGCAAGGAAGGAAAGACCCUAGGACUGAGGGGAGAAUACACAGAAGAGAUCAGAAGAAAUAGAGAAGGACUGACAGGCAAAAACAAAUGAGAAAGAAGGAGUUUGUCAACCUUCACUGACAGCAUAGAAGCAGGGAAAUACCUUUGAAGCAGGAUAUGAGAACAAAGAACACAAUAAGCAGUCCAUAAAUGGUCCCAAUUUGUAUUAAAUUAAGAUAGGAAAAAAACUACAUACAUCCAAGGCAUGGAUUAUUAUGGAUUCUCUUGAAGGGAAAAGAUGCUGCUCACAGGAAGAACUUCCCACCACAGCUGCCACUGAUGCUCCCAGUUUCUGGCCUCCUGCAGUUCCCCACAGCAACCUCUUCAUCCUCUGUAGGACUUAAAAUUUAAUAGCAGUGUGUAAGCUUUCUCAACAAUGCUCGCCUUUUCAGACUCACGAGCCUGACAGACACACAGAAACAACUUCUGCUCAGCUUUCUCAGAGGCUGGAAAUGGGUCACUCAUCCCCUCAUUGGUUCCUCACCUCCCAGGACAGCUGAAAGCAGGGCUUGGCAGCCCAUGGGUGGGAUAACACCACUACAGAGCAGGAACAAGUCAGAGUUCUGAUGUGCUGGGGACUCCUUUGGACAUGCAGCCCGGCACAGACUCAUCAGACAAGAGAUAUGCAGCAAGCUCCCUUCUCUUUGUUUCACAAUAUCCUGCCGAGGCCAAAGGUCCUUUGAGGUUUAUAUAAAUUACAGUGGUUCCCUCUUAUUUGCCCAUUAUGAGCGUGUCCCAGUUGGAAUUCAAACAGAUUAGUGAUGAGGCAUGAGUUUCCUGCAGAAACUUUGCUCUUUAGAUACCAUCAUCUUUCUUUUUCUUUUUUUCCUACUUGAUAUUCUGUCUUCAACCAGCUUAUAAAACAGAAGUGUGUAUCUGGGAGAGUAUGUGCUUCCUCAAAUUAUCUCAAUCCUGUUUUCAACUCUGGGUACAACUGUUACCUUCCACUUCUUCAGCAAAAUAGCUGUUUUUAAUUAAGAAAGGCAUAUUUUUGUUGCAGAUCAGCUAUUUCAUACUAAGCUCCUUCUAAACUUUUCAAUGUACCAUCUGGAGCUGAUGAUUUGCUGCUUUUUAAAUUAUCGAUUUGUUCCAGCUCUUCCUUCUGACACAUCUUGAUUACCAGAAAGGAGAAAGUCCCAGUAGGUACCACUCUGAUAUUCUCUGUGCUGAAGAGUGCUGCAAACAAAUCAUUUAGAUUCUCAGCAAUGUCUUUAUCUUCUUUAAUUUCUGCCUUUGAUCUUUGGUGAUCCAGUUCCUGAACUACCAGUUAAUUAUUCCAACUCUUCUGACUGACAAACCUGAAGCAUUCUUAUUUUAUAACUUCAGUAUUUUGCAGUCUACCAUACUUCCUUUUUAUUUCCCUUUCAUCUAGUCUUUACACUAAUUAAUAAACCAAUGUAUUGGUAAAAUAAGGUUAGAUUU